AAUCGAUGAUCCUCGAUAUACCUUACCAUUUUUUGCUUUCUCAGCUUGUAUACCUCCGUCGCAAACCUACCACUUGAGUGCCCCUAAGUAGGUUCAACUGGGCCUCUAACACGCCAAUACGUCAGGUCAAGGUGCAGCCCAUAAAAUGGGAAGUAAUGGGCUACAAUUUCUAAGAUAGAACAAACGAAAAACUACAUGAAACAUAGUCAUGAAGGCGGAUUUAGCAGUAAAAGAAGAACAAUAAGCUUCUUUUAACAAGGCUCUGGGACGUGUACAAACCGCCCGUCACCCUCUUCAAUAAACCCCCCCCCCC
rnacentral:rRNA from 1 species